UACGUAGGGACCGAGCGUUUGUCCGGAAUCAUUGGGCGUAAAGAGCGUGUAGGCGGCUAUUUAAGUCCUGCGUGAAAUCCUGCGGCUCAACCGCAGACGGUCGUGGGAAACUGGAUGGCUAGAGUGCGGGAGAGGAGAGUGGAAUUCCCGGUGUAGCGGUGAAAUGCGCAGAUAUCUGGAGGAACACCGGUGGCGAAGGCGACAUCCUGGACCGGUAUUGACGCUGAGGCGCGAAAGCCAGGGGAGCAAAGCGGG
rnacentral:rRNA from 1 species